GACGAACGCUGGCGGCGUGCUUAACGCAUGCAAGUCGAACGGAAAGGCCUCUUUCGGGGGGUACUCGAGUGGCGAACGGGUGAGUAACACGUGAGUAACCUGCCCUUGACUUUGGGAUAACUUCAGGAAACUGGGGCUAAUACCGGAUAGGAGCUCCUGCUGCAUGGUGGGGGUUGGAAAGUUUCGGCGGUUGGGGAUGGACUCGCGGCUUAUCAGCUUGUUGGUGGGGUAGUGGCUUACCAAGGCUUUGACGGGUAGCCGGCCUGAGAGGGUGACCGGCCACAUUGGGACUGAGAUACGGCCCAGACUCCUACGGGAGGCAGCAGUGGGGAAUAUUGCACAAUGGGUGGAAGCCUGAUGCAGCAACGCCGUGUGCGGGAUGACGGCCUUCGGGUUGGAAACCGCUUUCGCUCAUGACGAAGCUUUGUGUGACGGUAGUGGGUAAAGAAGCACCGGCUAACUACGUG
rnacentral:rRNA from 1 species